rnacentral:rRNA from 1 species
UACGUAGGGGGCAAGCGUUGUCCGGAUUUAUUGGGCGUAAAGAGCGUGUAGGCGGCCUGAAAGGUCAGCUGUGAAAACUCGAGGCUCAACCUCGAGACGUCGGUUGAAACCAUCUGGCUAGAGUCCGGAAGAGGAGAGUGGAAUUCCCGGUGUAGCGGUGAAAUGCGCAGAUAUCGGGGAAGAACACCCGGUGGCGAAGGCGGCUCUCUGGGACGGUAC